UACGUAGGGUGCGAGCGUUGUCCGGAAUUAUUGGGCGUAAAGAGCUCGUAGGCGGCCUGUCGCGUCGGUUGUGAAAGCCCGGGGCUCAACCCCGGGUCUGCAGUCGAUACGGGCAGGCUAGAGUUCGGUAGGGGAGAUCGGAAUUCCUGGUGUAGCGGUGAAAUGCGCAGAUAUCAGGAGGAACACCGGUGGCGAAGGCGGAUCUCUGGGCCGAUACUGACGCUGAGGAGCGAAAGCGUGGGGAGCGAACAGG
rnacentral:rRNA from 1 species